AUUGAACGCUGGCGGCAUGCCUUACACAUGCAAGUCGAACGGCAGCACGGGUGCUUGCACCUGGUGGCGAGUGGCGAACGGGUGAGUAAUAUAUCGGAACGUGCCUUAGAGUGGGGGAUAACUAGUCGAAAGAUUAGCUAAUAACGCAUACGAUCCACGGAUGAAAGUGGGGGAUCGCAAGACUCAAUGCUCUUAGAGCGGCCGAUAUCUGAUUAGCUAGUUGGUGGGGUAAAAGCCUACCAAGGAGACGAUCAGUAGCUGGUCUGAGAGGACGACCAGCCACAGUGGGACUGAGACACGGCCCAGACUCCUACGGGAGGCAGCAGUGGGGAAUUUUGGACAAUGGGGGCAACCCUGAUCCAGCAAUGCCGCGUGAGUGAAGAAGGCCUUCGGGUUGUAAAGCUCUUUUGUCAGGAAAGAAAUCCUAUUCGCUAAUACCGAGUGGGGAUGACGGUACCUGAAGAAUAAGCACCGGCUAACUACGUGCCAGCCGCCGCAGUAA
rnacentral:rRNA from 1 species